rnacentral:rRNA from 1 species
GACGAACGCUGGCGGCGUGCUUAACACAUGCAAGUCGAACGCUGAAGCUUGGUGCUUGCACUGGGUGGAUGAGUGGCGAACGGGUGAGUAAUACGUGAGUAACCUGCCCUUGACUCUGGGAUAAGCCUGGGAAACUGGGUCUAAUACUGGAUAUGACAUGCCACUGCAUGGUGGUGUGUGGAAAGGGUUUUACUGGUUUUGGAUGGGCUCACGGCCUAUCAGCUUGUUGGUGGGGUAAUGGCCUACCAAGGCGACGACGGGUAGCCGGCCUGAGAGGGUGACCGGCCACACUGGGACUGAGAGACGGCCCAGACUCCUACGGGAGGCAGCAGUGGGGAAUAUUGCACAAUGGGCGGAAGCCUGAUGCAGCGACGCCGCGUGAGGGAUGACGGCCUUCGGGUUGUGAACCUCUUUCAGCACGGAAGAAGCGAGAGUGACGGUACGUGCAGAAGAAGCGCCGGCUAACUACGUG